rnacentral:rRNA from 1 species
GACGAACGCUGGCGGCAGGCUUAACACAUGCAAGUCGAGCGCCCCGCAAGGGGAGCGGCAGACGGGUGAGUAACGCGUGGGAACGUGCCUUUCGGUUCGGAACAACUGAGGGAAACUUCAGCUAAAACCGGAUACGCCCUUCGGGGGAAAGUUUACGCCGAAAGAUCGGCCCGCGUCAGAUUAGGUAGUUGGUGGGGUAAAGGCCUACCAAGCCGAUGAUCUGUAGGUGGUCUGAGAGGAUGAUCACCCACACUGGGACUGAGACACGGCCCAGACUCCUACGGGAGGCAGCAGUGGGGAAUAUUGGACAAUGGGCGCAAGCCUGAUCCAGCCAUGCCGCGUGGAUGAAGAAGGCCCUAGGGUUGUAAAGUCCUUUCGACGGAGACGAUAAUGACGGUAUCCGUAGAAGAAGCCCCGGCUAAUUUCGUGCCAGCCGCCGCCGUAACAC